rnacentral:rRNA from 1 species
AACGUAGGAGACAAGCGUUAUCCGGAGUUACUGGGCGUAAAGGGCGUGUAGGUGGUUUCGUAAGUCUGGCGUGAAAUAUCUCGGCUUAACCGAGGCAGGUCGUCGGAUACUGCGGAACUAGAGGACGGUAGAGGCGUGUGGAAUUCCGGGUGUAGUGGUGAAAUGCGUAGAGAUCCGGAGGAACACCAGUGGCGAAGGCGACACGCUGGGCCGUACCUGACACUGAUGCGCGACAGCAUGGGGAGCAAACAGG